rnacentral:lncRNA from 1 species
AAUCUCAUCCCCAUAUUCACCAUUUCAGUGAAGUUUGAGGGAGCACUAGCGAUCAUUCUCUCAUAAUAGAAAGAGCUCAAAGUCUUCAAGAAGAUCUUUGUCAUCUCCUUCUCUUCCAGGGGUGGCACUAUCUAAGCUGCCAGUUCUCGCCAUCUCUGGGCGUACUCCUUAUCCUUCUGGGACAUCUCCCUCAAUUGGUCCCUGUCUGGAGCCAU